rnacentral:rRNA from 1 species
UACGUAGGGUGCGAGCGUUAAUCGGAAUUACUGGGCGUAAAGCGUGCGCAGGCGGUUUUGUAAGCCAGAUGUGAAAUCCCCGGGCUCAACCUGGGAAUGGCAUUUGGGACUGCAAGGCUUGAGUGCGGCAGAGGAGACUGGAAUUCCUGGUGUAGCAGUGAAAUGCGUAGAUAUCAGGAGGAAUACCGAUGGCGAAGGCAGGUCUCUGGGCUGACACUGACGCUCAUGCACGAAAGCGU